GACGAACGCUGGCGGCGUGCUUAACACAUGCAAGUCGAGCGGUAAGGCCCUUUCGGGGGUACACGAGCGGCGAACGGGUGAGUAACACGUGGGUGACCUGCCCUCAGCCCUGGGAUAAGCCUGGGAAACCGGGUCUAAUACCGGAUAUGACUCCAUGACGCAUGUUGUGGGGUGGAAAGCCUUGUGCGGCUGAGGAUGGGCCCGCGGCCUAUCAGCUUGUUGGUGGGGUGAUGGCCACCAAGGCGACGACGGGUAGCCGGCCUGAGAGGGCGACCGGCCACACUGGGACUGAGACACGGCCCAGACUCCUACGGGAGGCAGCAGUGGGGAAUCUUGCGCAAUGGGCGAAAGCCUGACGCAGCGACGCCGCGUGAGGGAUGACGGCCUGG
rnacentral:rRNA from 1 species